GACGAACGCUGGCGGCGUGCCUAAUACAUGCAAGUCGAGCGGAAGUUGGAGAGCUUGCUCUUCAACUUUAGCGGCGGACGGGUGAGUAACACGUGGGCAACCUGCCCUGCAGAUCGGGAUAACUCCGGGAAACCGGUGCUAAUACCGAAUAGUUUUCGCCACCUCCUGGUGGCGUACGGAAAGACGGUUUCGGCUGUCACUGCAGGAUGGGCCCGCGGCGCAUUAGCUAGUUGGUGGGGUAACGGCCCACCAAGGCAACGAUGCGUAGCCGACGUGAAGGGGUGGUCGGCCACACUGGGACUGAGACACGGCCCAGACUCCUACGGGAGGCAGCAGUAGGGAAUCCUCCGCAAUGGACGAAAGUCUGACGGAGCAACGCCGCGUGAGUGACGAAGGUUUUCGGAUCGUAAAACUCUGUUGUGAGGGAAGAACAAGUACCACUUAACUACUGGUACCUUGACGGUACCUCACCAGAAAGCCACGGCUAACUACGUGCCAGCCGCCGCCGUAA
rnacentral:rRNA from 1 species